AGGGUGUCAAGCAUUUUAACUCCCUCGGGUCCAUAUCUUUGUUGUAGGCACAGGUGAGACAGUGGUCAAGACCAGCUUUCCUGCACAAGAUAGAUGACUUCAGGAUGAGAUUCUCUGGGAGCCGGAGGGCUGUGCUCGCGGGUGGGGAGAUCCGUGCCGACCACCAUGGCUUGCGUGCCUGUAGGAGAGAGAACUCAAGACUCAUUAGCUGGAUUUAAAGAGAGUAAGAAGAAUCGGGGGAACUGAAAUGAAUCUUCCUAAUUGCAUUAAACCUUAGCUGGUGAAUUCCUU
rnacentral:lncRNA from 1 species